GAUGAACGCUAGCGAUAGGCCUAACACAUGCAAGUCGAGGGGCAUCACAUGAAGUAGCAAUACGGAUGGUGGCGACCGGCGCACGGGUGAGUAAUACGUAUGCAACCUGCCUUCAACAAGGGGAUAACCCGUUGAAAGACGGACUAAUACCCUAUAACACAGGGGUCCCGCAUGGGAAUAUUUGUUAAAGGACAACCGGUUGAAGAUGGGCAUGCGUUCCAUUAGCUAGUUGGCGGGGUAACGGCCCACCAAGGCAACGAUGGAUAGGGGAACUGAGAGGUUUAUCCCCCACACUGGUACUGAGACACGGACCAGACUCCUACGGGAGGCAGCAGUGAGGAAUAUUGGUCAAUGGACGCAAGUCUGAACCAGCCACGUCGCGUGAAGGAAGACGGCCCUACGGGUUGUAAACUUCUUUUAUACGGGAAUAAAGUGCCCCACGCGUGGGGUUUUGCAUGUACCGUAUGAAUAAGGAUCGGCUAACUCCGUGCCAGCAGCCGCGGUAAGUACUGACU
rnacentral:rRNA from 1 species